rnacentral:rRNA from 1 species
AGUGAACGCUGGCGGUAGGCCUAACACAUGCAAGUCGAACGGCAGCACAGUAAGAGCUUGCUCUUACGGGUGGCGAGUGGCGGACGGGUGAGGAAUACAUCGGAAUCUACUUUUUCGUGGGGGAUAACGUAGGGAAACUUACGCUAAUACCGCAUACGACCUACGGGUGAAAGCAGGGGAUCUUCGGACCUUGCGCGAUUGAAUGAGCCGAUGUCGGAUUAGCUAGUUGGCGGGGUAAAGGCCCCCCAAGGGGACGACCCGUAGCUGGUCUGGGAGGAUGACCAGCCCCGCUGGAACGGAGGCACGGCCCAACUCCCACCGGGAGGCAGCAGGGGGGAAUAUGGGACAAAGGGGGGAAGCCUUAUCCGGCCAUGCCGGGUGGGUGAAGAAGCCCUUCGGGUUGGAAACCCCUUUUGUUGGGAAAGAAAACCGGCCGGUUAAUACCCCGCUGUUUGGCGGUAACCCAAGAAAAAACCCCCGCCUACCCUCUG